rnacentral:rRNA from 1 species
GAUGAACGCUGGCGGCGUGCCUAAUACAUGCAAGUCGAGCGAACAGACGAGGAGCUUGCUCCUUUGACGUUAGCGGCGGACGGGUGAGUAACACGUAGGUAACCUACCUAUAAGACUGGGAUAAAUUCGGGAACCCGGAGCUAAUACCGGAUAAUAUUUCGAACCGCAUGGUUCGAUAGUGAAAGAUGGCUUUGCUAUCACUUAUAGAUGGACCUGCGCCGUAUUAGCUAGUUGGUAAGGUAACGGCUUACCAAGGCAACGAUACGUAGCCGACCUGAGAGGGUGAUCGGCCACACUGGAACUGAGACACGGUCCAGACUCCUACGGGAGGCAGCAGUAGGGAAUCUUCCGCAAUGGGCGAAAGCCUGACGGAGCAACGCCGCGUGAGUGAUGAAGGUCUUCGGAUCGUAAAACUCUGUUAUUAGGGAAGAACAAACGUGUAAGUAACUGUGCACGUCUUGACGGUACCUAAUCAGAAAGCCACGGCUAACUACGUG